GACGAACGCUGGCGGCGUGCUUAACACAUGCAAGUCGAACGAUGAAGCCUAGCUUGCUAGGUGGAUUAGUGGCGAACGGGUGAGUAAUACGUGAGUGACCUACCUUUGACUCUGGGAUAAGCCUGGGAAACUGGGUCUAAUACCGGAUACGACCAAUCUCCGCAUGGGGUGUUGGUGGAAAGCGUUAUGGAGUGGUUUUAGACGGGCUCACGGCCUAUCAGCUUGUUGGUGAGGUAAUGGCUUACCAAGGCGACGACGGGUAGCCGGCCUGAGAGGGUGACCGGCCACACUGGGACUGAGACACGGCCCAGACUCCUACGGGAGGCAGCAGUGGGGAAUAUUGCACAAUGGGCGCAAGCCUGAUGCAGCGACGCCGCGUGAGGGAUGACGGCCUUCGGGUUGUAAACCUCUGUUAGCAUCGAAGAAGCGAAAGUGACGGUAGGUGCAGAGAAAGCGCCGGCUAACUACGUG
rnacentral:rRNA from 1 species